rnacentral:rRNA from 1 species
CGAAAGCCUGACGGAGCAAGACCGCGUGGGGGAGGAAGGCUCUAGGGUUGUAAACCCCUUUUCUUUGGGAAGAACAAAAUGACGGUACCAAAGGAAUCAGCCUCGGCUAACUCCGUGCCAGCAGCCGCGGUAAUACGGAGGAGGCAAGCGUUAUCCGGAAUGAUUGGGCGUAAAGCGUCCGCAGGUGGCGAUGCAAGUCUGCUGUCAAAACCCAGGGCUCAACUCUGGUCAGGCAGUGGAAACUACAAAGCUAGAGUCUGGUAGGGGCAAAGGGAAUUCCCGGUGUAGCGGUGAAAUGCGUAGAUAUUGGGAAGAACACCAGUGGCGAAGGCGCUCUACUGGGCCACAACUGACGCUGAGGGACGAAAGCUAGGGGAGCG